AGGGCAGCAGCUUUCUGCUGGCACUGGGAAGCACUGGUGGGGUUUGAGGGAAGCAAACAGCUCGGGGGGAGCGUUGCACUCCGUUUAGGGUUUUGCAGUGGUGGUUGGUGAGGGUGGGGAUGAGAUCUGGAGGAGGAGCAGCGGAGCCAGGCUGGUGGCACUGAGGAGAAAGGGGAGCACAGGUGGACCCUCUGACCCCCAGGGAUGGUUCUGAGGUAACGGGAUUCAUCCCCAAAUUCCCUUCCUAUGCCGUCGUGGGCUGCGGAGUCUGAUUUACCAUGGGGUCCAAAGCCCUGCGUGCAGUGCAGCUUCGAUAUGAGGAAAGAUAAAGGUUGAAGGAGUCAGUGUGUGUGAAAGUGCCGACCUCGUGGAGAAAGCAUUAAAACGCAGAUCUUAAUUCCCAGAAAUCCGAAUUACGUCCUUCCUGUUUCUCCCCACUUCCACUGCCACCCUCUCGUUCUGAAAACAUACAGCACUGCAUCGAAUGGAUGUGGGCGCUGAGAUUUCCCCUCUAAGAUCAUCCUACAGCAAACCUGCAAGCUGGGGAGCUCGGCUUCCCUUCCCAAGCACUGGAAAGCCCCUGAAAAUAAUAUAUAUAUAGUUUUCUCCCCAAAUACGUGUUGGUGGCUAUAGAAACUGAGUGCAGGAGUCCAACAAGAACAGAAUCCUGCGCUGCUUUUAUUACGUAUUCAUGCAAACAGCCCUCUGUCCAAGCGUGAGGCCAUCACUUAUCCCUUCUCUUGCAAUGCGACUUCUGGGGACGAAUCCCCUCUAUUUCUUCUUGCUGUUUGCAUCAGCGAAGUGCGAACUCGCCCGUGGCACCCGGAGAAACCGCAGCAAUAACAAUAAACAGCGAUGCAUACAUUCACAAGGAGACGUUCCGUACCGGACUUGAUUUAUUUACUCUGUUUAAAACGGAGUUAAAACUCACGUGGCAGCAAAAAAAAAAACCGAUACGGCUGGAAGAGAUGGGAGCUGUGAUGCUGUCAGUGCACGUGUGUGUUUGUGCGCACAUCCACGAAGCAAAACGCGGCGUUGGUUUCAGCCGUGGCUUCACGUUGUGGGGUAACAACUUCUCACCUGGUUGAAAGAUACCUAUUUGUACGCUGUGAAAUGUGAGAUUUCAUGUCCCAUUGGCGGCGCAUUCGAUCAAAUCGGGGCUGAACGGGUCCGUAGGAAAUUAAAGGACGGAUUUAAAGUUAAAAAUCCUCUUGCGGUGCUUUCUGAGAGAGCUGCGCUGCUCGUUAAUACAUAGAGAUGUAAAUGACAGCGGUCGUGGGUAGAUGGGUCGAAUAAAUCACUAAACCCCAUCAUUUCGGUAACAGAGGAUCGAGAGGAGAGCGCAAACCGUGCGGGGAACUUCUUCCCUCUUUUCUCCGUUCCCAAUCCCUCUGUGCGGAUGAGCCCCGACCGUUCAUAGAGCUGCUCCCUGUUUUCCCCUCCGCCUUUCUUGGGGGGACUGCGGGGCCCCAAGGAGAGAAAGGAAACGUUCCGCGGGUGCGGAGCUCCGAGGUGCGGGGCUGCGCCCAACCGUGCGCUGCGUUUCCUCCUCUUUUCAGCCCUAUCCGGCUGAUAUCGGCGCUUUUAAUUUUAAUUUAUAUAUAUUUAAUUACUAGCUCGUCAAGCCUCAGCCACCCAAGCCUUUCUUUUUUUAUUCCGUGGUGCUUUUUUUGCUGCUCACCCCCCCCCCCAUCUUUGCACUCUUCUCACCCCAGAAGUAGUGGGGCUCAGGGCUGCCCCGACGGGACCUUCCACGCUGGGAUUCCUCUCCAUGCAAGUUGCUCCCACAGAUCAACCCCUUCCCGAGCAACGCACAAUGCAAAGCAAACCCCCCCCUCAACCGUAAACCAGUGUUGUCUUUGGAUAUUCGUAAUUUAUUUACGGUUAGCCCCAAAUUUAACAAAGAUGACAGAUUGCUGUUGAGGGGGGGGCAGGGUGGGGGGAAUGCGAUUCAAUUAAUUUGUAAUCUUACGUUUCAUUAGAAAAUGUAAGAAUAAUGAUGGCAUCCAGCAGGCUGGGGGGCGGGGGAUGCGAAAAAUCAUAAACGGAGAUUUCCCCUUCCCAAAUCAGAUUAUAAAAUAAGCUGUUUUAAAUUAAAUUAGUCGAUGCGCGCUUGAUCAGGGUAACCUCAGAUUACGAGCGAGGUAAAAGCGUACAAACAAAUGGAACUAACGGAGGACGUGGAGUUGAGCCCUUCCCCCCUUUUUCGGUUGCGGCCCCCCCGGCGUUGGGGGGCUGUGGGUGGGGGUCCAGGAAUGGGGCAGAACCGGGGGGCAACGCUGCGAAGUGCAGUGGGGGCCCGGCUUGCAACAGGCGACCCUGGAGUAAAUAUUCAUAGCUCUGCCCGUACAGAGAGCUCCGUGCUUCACUUGCGGGUGCCGAACAGUUUUCCCUCGGGCUGAAGCUCAAAACCUGCGGAAAAGGGGAACUUGGAGGGGAGAAACCCCCACAUGUUGUUCCCUCAUCCCCCCCAAGUCUGGGCAGUUGGGUUCCUUUUGCCGCAUUCCUGUUGGGGCUCUGCGUUCCUUUGCUGUUAUUUAUUUCAACAUACAUUGAGUUUUUUUCCCAUCUAUUAUUAUUAUUAUUGUUGUUGUUGUUGUUGUUGUCGUUAUCGUUAUUAUUAAUUUCCCCCCCCGCCCCAACGGAACGAUCCCCAUCGGUACCGCGCGGCUUUGCGCUCCCGUCCGACCGCCCCCGACGGGCAAAGUUGAGGGGAGGGGGAAUAUCCCAAACAGCCCCCGAUCCCCAAAUUCUCUCCCGGCCAAACUUCAGCUUCGUUUGCUGUCGUUUCUCCCUUCGUUUCUCCACCUCAACCAAUUGAAAAAAGAAAACCUGAAAAUAAAACCGAGCACUACAACGAAACCAAUUGCUUUUGCUUCCCUCUAAAAAUCGUCCAAGUGGAAUUAUCGCCUCCAAAUGACAACGAG
ensembl:lncRNA